rnacentral:rRNA from 1 species
UACAGAGGUCUCAAGCGUUGUUCGGAUUCAUUGGGCGUAAAGGGUGCGUAGGCGGCGCGGUAAGUCGGGUGUGAAAUUUCGGAGCUUAACUCCGAAACUGCAUUCGAUACUGCGGUGCUUGAGGACUGGAGAGGAGACUGGAAUUUACGGUGUAGCAGUGAAAUGCGUAGAGAUCGUAAGGAAGACCAGUGGCGAAGGCGGGUCUCUGGACAGUUCCUGACGCUGAGGCACGAAGGCCAGGGGAGCAAACGGG